rnacentral:rRNA from 1 species
AGAGUUUGAUCAUGGCUCAGAGCGAACGCUGGCGGCAGGCUUAACACAUGCAAGUCGAGCGGGCGUAGCAAUACGUCAGCGGCAGACGGGUGAGUAACGCGUGGGAACGUACCUUUUGGUUCGGAACAACCCAGGGAAACUUGGGCUAAUACCGGAUAAGCCCUUACGGGGAAAGAUUUAUCGCCGAAAGAUCGGCCCGCGUCUGAUUAGCUAGUUGGUGAGGUAAUGGCUCACCAAGGCGACGAUCAGUAGCUGGUCUGAGAGGAUGAUCAGCCACAUUGGGACUGAGACACGGCCCAAACUCCUACGGGAGGCAGCAGUGGGGAAUAUUGGACAAUGGGCGCAAGCCUGAUCCAGCCAUGCCGCGUGAGUGAUGAAGGCCCUAGGGUUGUAAAGCUCUUUUGUGCGGGAAGAUAAUGACGGUACCGCAAGAAUAAGCCCCGGCUAACUUCGUGCCAGCAGCCGCGGUAAUACGAAGGGGGCUAGCGUUGCUCGGAAUCACUGGGCGUAAAGGGUGCGUAGGCGGGUCUUUAAGUCAGGGGUGAAAUCCUGGAGCUCAACUCCAGAACUGCCUUUGAUACUGAAGAUCUUGAGUUCGGGAGAGGUGAGUGGAACUGCGAGUGUAGAGGUGAAAUUCGUAGAUAUUCGCAAGAACACCAGUGGCGAAGGCGGCUCACUGGCCCGAUACUGACGCUGAGGCACGAAAGCGUGGGGAGCAAACAGGAUUAGAUACCCCGGUAGUCC